CAUGAACUGACGGAGCCACAAAAUCCAGCUAGGUUGUGGGGAAUUACCGAGACUUUGUACCACUUCAAUAUCGUACCAGGAGACUUCGCACCAUUUGGCUGGGCCACUGGAGAGAUCGUACCAGAUGCUAUGGACUGUGACUGGUGCCAGAGAUGCAGCACAGAACUUGUGAAACAGGGAUCUCCCAGACCGCAAAGUCACAUUUUGUAUCCUUUUGGACUUGAGAUCACCCAUACGUGUUAUGCAUUUAUGUAUUUUAUGUAUUUCUUUCUUUCUGAGUCCAAUUUUUCUCUUGAAGAAAUAACAUGUGUGUUAGUAUUCUAAACAACAUCGAUGGCAUCUACUAUAUAAAUAAAUAUACAUACUUUAUAUAUUAUUAAUUCAUGAUAUAAUAAUAACUUAAGUAUCAGAGUAAUAAAAAUAAAAGUAGGCCGAAAAGGACAGGCCGAAAAGCUGGGCUGAGUUGACCCGGAUUCUCAACAUGCAUAUGAUUGUGGUACAAUGUCUCCAAAAAUGGUACGAUAUUGAAGUGGUACCAAGUCUCAAACAUCUGUUGUGGGAAGGGAAACAAAGAAAAUUUUAAGUCAGACUUGCAAAUCCAUGAAAUAUGAAACAUGCUAAGUGCUAUUUUUAUGGAUUCUUAUUUAUAGCCACUUAAAACCCUUUCACUUGUAUGCCUUAAGCUGUUUAUUAAAAGUUCAUAAAUUGGAAUGUAUAAAUUUAUGUAAACUAACUACAUACAUGAUACUUCAUACAUGUUUACCUAGUAGUGUAGGUUUUGUACAAUUUCAAAUAUGAAUGGCUAAUUCAUUGGACAAUUAAACCGUUAAAACCUUUAAAAGUAAACUUAUCAAACAAAACAACAAUAACUACUUUACUUUUACUUCAGUGUCUCCAAAUUAUUCCAAAAAAAUAGUGUGCAAUGUUGCGGGUCUAAAAUUGUCAAUAAACGUAUUCAACGAUUUCAAAGGCAACAGUGC